GGACAUCAGGAGGUUAGUGCAAUGGCAUAAGCCAGCUUGACUGCGAGCGUGACGGCGCGAGCAGGUGCGAAAGCAGGUCAUAGUGAUCCGGUGGUUCUGAAUGGAAGGGCCAUCGCUCAACGGAUAAAAGGUACUCCGGGGAUAACAGGCUGAUACCGCCCAAGAGUUCAUAUCGACGGCGGUGUUUGGCACCUCGAUGUCGGCUCAUCACAUCCUGGGGCUGAAGUAGGUCCCAAGGGUAUGGCUGUUCGCCAUUUAAAGUGGUACGCGAGCUGGGUUUAGAACGUCGUGAGACAGUUCGGUCCCUAUCUGCCGUGGGCGCUGGAGAACUGAGGGGGGCUGCUCCUAGUACGAGAGGACCGGAGUGGACGCAUCACUGGUGUUCGGGUUGUCAUGCCAAUGGCACUGCCCGGUAGCUAAAUGCGGAAGAGAUAAGUGCUGAAAGCAUCUAAGCACGAAACUUGCCCCGAGAUGAGUUCUCCCUGACUCCUUGAGAGUCCUGAAGGAACGUUGAAGACGACGACGUUGAUAGGCCGGGUGUGUAAGCGCAGCGAUGCGUUGAGCUAACCGGUACUAAUGAACCGUGAGG
rnacentral:rRNA from 1 species